UACGUAGGGUGCGAGCGUUGUCCGGAAUUAUUGGGCGUAAAGAGCUCGUAGGCGGCCUGUCGCGUCGGAUGUGAAAGCCCGGGGCUUAACCCCGGGUCUGCAUUCGAUACGGGCAGGCUAGAGUGUGGUAGGGGAGAUCGGAAUUCCUGGUGUAGCGGUGAAAUGCGCAGAUAUCAGGAGGAACACCGGUGGCGAAGGCGGAUCUCUGGGCCAUUACUGACGCUGAGGAGCGAAAGCUAGGGGAGCAAACGGG
rnacentral:rRNA from 1 species